UACGUAGGGGGCAAGCGUUGUCCGGAUUUAUUGGGCGUAAAGAGCGUGUAGGCGGCCAGACAGGUCCGUUGUGAAAACUCGAGGCUCAACCUCGAGACGCCGAUGGAAACCGUCUGGCUAGAGUCCGGAAGAGGAGAGUGGAAUUCCUGGUGUAGCGGUGAAAUGCGUAGAGAUCGGGAGGAACACCAGAGGCGAAGGCGGCGACCUGGACAGGAACUGACACUAAACUACGAAAGCGUGGGGAGCAAACAGG
rnacentral:rRNA from 1 species